AUUGAACGCUGGCGGCAUGCUUUACACAUGCAAGUCGAACGGCAGCGCGGGCUUCGGCCUGGCGGCGAGUGGCGAACGGGUGAGUAAUACAUCGGAACGUGCCCAGUAGUGGGGGAUAGCUCGGCGAAAGCCGGAUUAAUACCGCAUACGACCUGAGGGUGAAAGCGGGGGAUCUUCGGACCUCGCGCUAUUGUAGCGGCCGAUGGCAGAUUAGCUAGUUGGUGGGGUAAAGGCCUACCAAGGCGACGAUCUGUAGCUGGUCUGAGAGGACGACCAGCCACACUGGGACUGAGACACGGCACAGACUCCUACGGGAGGCAGCAGUGGGGAAUUUUGGACAAUGGGCGAAAGCCUGAUCCAGCAAUGCCGCGUGUGUGAUGAAGGCCUUCGGGUUGUAAAGCACUUUUGGCGGGAACGAAAAGGACUGUGCCAAUACCACGGUUCGAUGACGGUACCCGCAGAAUAAGCACCGGCUAACUACGUG
rnacentral:rRNA from 1 species